CAUUUGCAUGUGAUGUGUAUAUAAAAUAUUAGAUCUAUUCUGGUGAUUUAUGUUUUUAUUAUUUCUUUGCAGGGUUUGUUUGUGUGUGAGAAGAGAAAUAAUAAAUAAUGAAGUCCAUGGAGAUCCUAUUACUGCUUCUUUGCUUGAAAGUGGUUUGCUUUGCGGCAUUUGCUUCUGUUCCACCAACUUGCCAUGCUGAUUUUGAAAGUAAAUGCAACAAUAAUGGCUCGGAUGAAUGGGAAGGGAUGUUGUGCUCUACAUUCAGGAUCAGCUUGCUCAAAGCUUUCAAACACAGACUCCCAUUUGCUUGGAUCAAUUCCUACAGAAGAAGACAAUUUCUUAUGAAGCAUUAUGUGAAAUGAUUGUAAAAUAGUUUAGGUGCUUGAAAAAAGUAAUCUUCAUACCACAGCCAGUAUCAUCGACUUCAAACCAAAGAACAAUUCUGUUAUCUUUCUUGGAGGUUCUCAUCUCAUGGUUUCCAUGUUGCUUCAACUUUGUUUUGAGCGCAGAAGAUGAUUCCUUCUGAUCAAGGGGCAACUUCAUUGUGUCACUAAAUGUAUUGGGUCUCUCACACCAUCCUCGCAGUAUGAUGUGGCCCGCUCUGUUUUAGAAGAUCUUCAAAUGAUGAAAAGGACAGCAUACCAGACAAAUCUAGAACAGUCUCCACAUUGUGGUUUAUGCGCUGCACAGAAAACAUAUCCACAAGGCCUUCAAGUUCUCUCCCCAAGUCAAAUUCAGCUUCUUCUAGUACUAAUUUUCCAGAUUCAACCUGAAAUAAUUUAUGAAAAAAAUAGUAAAUUGAUUUGCAUCAUUGCAUGGCAAUUGUAAUUAUUUCUAAGAGAAUUUGUUCCAUAUUGUUAGUUUCUUUUGCAACUCUUAAAUGACUGGACAUAAUAAUAAAUAAAAUCUGAUGAGUGGAGAAAGUAUCACUUUCAGAGUCAUUUCUCAUUUUGUAUUCUGGAGGAAGAUUUUCCCAACUGAUCUACUCUGCUUUCAUAUCAUUAGGAAAUUACCCUAAUUCCCUUUCUCAUUAAUCUUGUGAAGUCGCUAAACAAACCAUUAUAGAAGUUCCUUACCCAACUUCUGGCAUCACUUUUUCCCUUGAUUUCUUCACUCUCUCUCGUGCUUGCUUGCUCUUGCUCUCCUCUCCCCCUGCAUGUCUCUGUCUGUCUGUGCAUGUGUUUGUUUGUGUGAUUUUCACUAGAGAAAUGCUAAUUCAGCAUGCAUCUGUGAAGUGCAAACCCUACUGUUCAUUGGUUUACAUGCACAACACUAGCAUUCCCUUACUCGUCAUGUUUCUGAUAUAUG